UUUCUUCGAACGUUUCAACGUUCUUUUGAAUUUUUACUUCUUAAAAUUGUUUCUCGGAGUGAAUACUAUUUCUAUUUUUUGCUCCUCUAUGGUGAAUAGGUAAUAACUAUAACUAAUUAUCGACAUUCGAUCGUUCUGACAAAUAGAGGAGAGAUACUUCCAGUGGUAACUCCGAAUUAGGAUCGGGAGUUAGGUUCCGUUUAAAAGGAAAAGUCAGAAAGGAUACAAGAGUAAAGAGUGGUGUAAUGUUGGUUCGAAGGAAGGCAAAGAAAAUUCCAUUUCAAGGAGAGAAAUUACGUACAUACGGGUGUAGAUCGGAUAGAAGGAUCGGUAAAAGGUGGCAGCUCGUAGCAGGA